ACAACAUUUGGACCGUAGGUCUACCGAGCACCGCUCGGUGGAAGAUCUUUCCUUUCGUCGU
rnacentral:pre_miRNA from 1 species